ACCUCGGUCGAUCCUGCCGAAGGCGACUGCUAUUGGGGUUCGACUUAACCAUGCGAGUCGUGCGGACUUCGGUCAGCGGCAUACGGCUCAGUAACACGUGGGUAACCUACUCUCAGGUCAGGAAUAACUCCGGGAAACUGGAGCUAAUACCUGGCAGAUACAGAAUUCUGGAAUGAGUUUGUAUUGAAAGCUCCGGCGCCUGAGAAUGGGCUCGCGGCUGAUUAGGUUGUUGGUGGGGUAAAGGCCCACCAAGCCUGUGAUCGGUACGGGCAGUGAGAGCUGGAGCCCGGAGAUGGGGACUGAGACAAGGCCCCAGGCCCUACGGGGCGCAGCAGGUGCGAAAACUCGCCAA
rnacentral:ncRNA from 1 species